GACGAACGCUGGCGGCGUGCCUAACACAUGCAAGUCGAACGGGUGGCGCACGGGUGAGUAACGCGUGAAUAACCUGACCCGAAGAGGGGGAUAACACCUGGAAACAAGUGCUAAUACCGCAUACUUUGGGAGGGGUUCGCGUCCCAUUAGGUAGUUGGUGAGGUAACGGCCCACCAAGCCGACGAUGGGUAGCCGAGCUGAGAGGCUGAUCGGCCACACUGGGACUGAGACACGGUCCAGACUCCUACGGGAGGCAGCAGUGGGGAAUAUUGGGCAAUGGGCGCAAGCCUGACCCAGCAACGCCGCGUGAGGGAAGAAGGUUUUCGGAUUGUAAACCUCUGUCGCAGGGGACGCGGUACCCUGUAAGAAAGCCCCGGCUAACUACGUGCCAGCAGCCGCGGUAAUACGUAGGGGGCGAGCGUUGUCCGGAAUUACUGGGCGUAAAGGGAGCGUAGGCGGUCGAUAAGUUAGAUGUGAAACCCCGGGCUUAACUUGGGGACUGCAUCUAAUACUGUGACUUAGAGUACAAGAGAGGGAAGCGGAAUUCCUAGUGUAGCGGUGAAAUGCGUAGAUAUAGGAGGAACUCCAGUGGCGAAGGCGGCUUUCUGGACUGACACUGACGCUGAGGCUCGAAAGCGUGGGGAGCAAACAGGAUUAGAUACCCUGGUAGUCCACGCUGUAAACGAUGAAUACUAGGUGUAGGGCUGUGCCGCAGCAAACGCAAUAAGUAUUCCGCCUGGGGAGUACGGCCGCAAGGUUGCAACUCAAAGGAAUUG
rnacentral:rRNA from 1 species